rnacentral:misc_RNA from 1 species
CGUCAGCUCGAGUUCAUCGAUAUCCAAGAAGAGUAUGUCAAAGACGAGCAGAAGAAUUUGAAGCGUGAGCUCCUUCGUGCUCAGGAAGAGGUCAAGCGGAUCCAGUCGGUGCCGCUUGUCAUCGGCCAGUUCAUGGAGAUGGUCGACCAAAACAAUGGUAUAGUGGGCUCCACCACUGGCUCUAAUUACUAUGUGAGGAUUCUUAGCACCAUUAAUAGGGAGCUCUUGAA